UUAAUACGGCAAAAAGUUUCAUAGAUAACAAAUAUAAGUGCAAUGUAAUCCUGUUUGGUGGGGUGGGUUUUUUGAAAAAAAUAGUGGCUGCAUUAAUGGCUGCCUCCAUGAAUAACAUUUUUAGCAAAAGAUAAAAUUAAACUUAAUCUGACUUUUUGAAUAUGAUCCCGUUAAUAAAGUGUCGUCUAAUUAAGUCUCCACAAUUAAUGUGCACACGUGGAGUGAAUUUUAGUAAAUGCCAAUUAGACAAACACUUGGCUAACUGCAGUAAACAUUACCCUCAACGGAGUUACGCAACCAACCAAAUUCCAAAGAAAUUUCAGAGAAAAUUUCUUCCGUUUGAACAGACCUCGUCUGGAACUGCAGAAAAAGUGAUAUUUUCCUGUCAAAAAUGGAAAUUUCGAGCAUUUUUGGUGUCUUGCAGUGGAGUUUUCUUGUGUGGGACUAUACUAAAUUCCACAGAACUAAUUUACAAUGUUUUGAAGUCAAAGUCAAAGGCUGUGGCAAAUGAGCGUGGUGAAUAUCCCUGGUAUUACUGGUGGACAUAUAUAAAUGUUGACUUAGGCAGCUUUCCAGUGAGGAUUGCUCUAGCUGCUUUACUUACUGGAUGCGCUGUCUUUGUUCUGGCAAUGUCAAUGAUGUACCCAUCGCGUGUUGUUCGGGAAUUAACCUUAUUAAAAGGACAUGAAAAGCUUCUAAUAGAGACCUAUGGACCUUUUGGAAUACCCAGAACUAUUGAGAUACCAUUAAAAGAUCUAUCAGCAGUUUGGGGUGCUAAGAGCAUCGCACAAGAGAAAACGAUGCCUUUGAAAGUAAGAGGAAAGCGUUUCUUCUUUCAAGUUUUGACUGAGAAAGGACAGAUACACGACAAAGAACUUUUUGAUCAUGCAAUUGCAGUACAAAGAUUUGAGGUUGAAAGAUUAUCUUGGCGAAAAUAAUGUGACAUUGUUGACUUCGCAUUUUAUGCCAGUGAGAGGAACACUUUGUAUGACACUGUUAUAUCUGUGUAAACUACAGAACUAAAUAAAAGAAAACAAUUA